rnacentral:rRNA from 1 species
CCUACGGAAGGCAGCAGUGGGGAAUAUUGGACAAUGGGCGAAAGCCUGAUCCAGCCAUGCCGCGUGUGUGAAGAAGGCCUUCGGGUUGUAAAGCACUUUCAGUGGGGAAGAAAGCCUUGGGGCUAAUACCCUCGAGGAAGGACAUCACCCACAGAAGAAGCACCGGCUAACUCCGUGCCAGCAGCCGCGGUAAUACGGAGGGUGCGAGCGUUAAUCGGAAUUACUGGGCGUAAAGCGCGCGUAGGCGGUCUGAUAAGCCGGUUGUGAAAGCCCCGGGCUCAACCUGGGAACGGCAUCCGGAACUGUCAGGCUAGAGUGCAGGAGAGGAAGGUAGAAUUCCCGGUGUAGCGGUGAAAUGCGUAGAGAUCGGGAGGAAUACCAGUGGCGAAGGCGGCCUUCUGGACUGACACUGACGCUGAGGUGCGAAAGCGUGGGUAGCAAACAGGAUUAGAUACCCUUGUAGUC